rnacentral:lncRNA from 9 species
AUGGUGGGAUGUCCUAUUGUACGCUAGGGGUUCAGUUCCGGACCAGGGUGCAAAAUGGAAGGAGUUCUCGACAUAAAGCAUAAAAGCGAAGCUUGUAGUAAUUAAGCACAUUUUAUUUCAGCGCCUGUAUGAACUGACGAGAGAGAGAACACGAACCUCCCACUAAGUGUACAGUUGGUUUGACCCAAGAGCUGCGGAAACUGAGGACCAGAGUUGGGAAGGAUAUCACGCAGGGUCAUGGAACUCUCGGAAGCCCAGCAUCAAGCCUUUAGAAUCAGAUGGACCUGACUUUCAACUCUGGUUCACACCCUGCUAGCCAUGUAACCUCUGGCAAACUGCUCACCUAAUUCUCAGAGCCAUAGUUGGGUGGAAAUAAGAGCCUCUUCCAUGUGGUGGUUGUUGGUAACAUUUACAAACAAAUCUGGGCCCCGGGCCCCCAGGCUGUCAUUGACAGCAGCUUCUCUUGUUCUGGAAUCAGGAGGGAAAGAACAGUUGAUCUGGCAUUGGCUCUUCUCAGACUGAUCGGCGUCAGAAGGUCCUGGAAGGAUAGCAGGGACACCUGUCCCCCAGAAGCCAGGAUCCGGCAAAGGAUCUGGGAUGCUCGUGACGGCAUUUCCCACCUGGGCUUGAUGGCAACUCCUGGUUGGCUUCGCUGGGAUUCUCAGCUCAUUGAGUCCCCAGGGCCCAGUUUUGUGCCUGAGACCAGAGGUGAGGCCAUGCCCUAGCCUAGGAGUUAGUAAAAUAUAUGUGUGUGUGUACGGGUGAGUGCAUGUGAAAGACAGACAGAGAAUGAGUCUGUGUGAGAGAGAGAUCAAGGUGAGUGUGCAUAUGUGUGAGAAAAUAAAUGUGGGUUGGGAGUGUGUGUAUGUGAGCAUGAAAGAUCACUCCUGCCCAGGCCUGGCAGCUGGACUAACGGUCCAUUUCCCCCAGGUCUGGCGGCCUCCUCCAGGCCCCCAGCUGCCCUGAUGGGCCAGGCCAGCCCCCCCACGGGAGCCCCCAGCC